UACGUAGGGAGCAAGCGUUGUCCGGAAUCAUUGGGCGUAAAGCGCGCGUAGGCGGCCCGGUAAGUCCGUUGUGAAAGUCAAAGGCUCAACCUUUGAAUGCCGAUGGAUACUGCCGGGCUAGAGUCCGGAAGAGGCGAGUGGAAUUCCUGGUGUAGCGGUGGAAUGCGCAGAGAUCAGGAGGAACACCCGUAGCGAAGGCGGCACUCUGGGCCGAUACUGACACUGAGGAGCGAAAGCGUGGGGAGCGAACAGG
rnacentral:rRNA from 1 species